GAGGGAGUCCCUCCCUCUAAAAGCACUCUGUGUGGGGAACAUGAGAGCCAGACCAAAGCUCAGAGGAACCAGCCUGGACCUCCACCCAGCUCUGUGUCCUUACAGAGUGACGCGUCUAAAGAUGAAGCCAUUCUUUUUAAAGUCCAGCCUGUGUCUGUUGCAGAGAGGUGAAGAGCCUGAGGCCGGUGACAGUCCAGUUCUACUCUAAGUGCAUCCUUACUGUGGCUCAC